rnacentral:rRNA from 1 species
GACGAACGCUGGCGGCGUGCCUAACACAUGCAAGUCGAACGGAAAGGCCCUGCUUUUGUGGGGUGCUCGAGUGGCGAACGGGUGAGUAACACGUGAGUAACCUGCCCUUGACUUUGGGAUAACUUCAGGAAACUGGGGCUAAUACCGGAUAGGAGCUCCUGCUGCAUGGUGGGGGUUGGAAAGUUUCGGCGGUUGGGGAUGGACUCGCGGCUAUCAGCUUGUUGGUGGGGUAGUGGCUUACCAAGGCUUUGACGGGUAGCCGGCCUGAGAGGGUGACCGGCCACAUUGGGACUGAGAUACGGCCCAGACUCCUACGGGAGGCAGCAGUGGGGAAUAUUGCACAAUGGGCGGAAGCCUGAUGCAGCAACGCCGCGUGCGGGAUGACGGCCUUCGGGUUGUAAACCGCUUUCGCCUGUGACGAAGCGUGAGUGACGGUAAUGGGUAAAGAAGCACCGGCUAACUACGUG